rnacentral:rRNA from 1 species
UACAGAGGUCUCGAGCGUUGUUCGGAUUCAUUGGGCGUAAAGGGUGCGUAGGUGGCUAGGUAAGUCGGAUGUGAAAUCCCGGGGCUCAACCCCGGAACUGCAUUCGAUACUGCCUGGCUAGAGUACUGGAGAGGAGAUUGGAAUUUACGGUGUAGCAGUGAAAUGCGUGGAUAUCGUAAGGAAGACCAGUGGCGAAGGCGGAUCUCUGGACAGUUACUGACACUGAGGCACGAAGGCCAGGGGAGCAAACGGG